CAGUAGCCGCGGUAAUACGAAGGGGGCUAGCGUUGCUCGGAAUGACUGGGCGUAAAGGGCGCGUAGGCGGAUUGUUUAGUUAGGCGUGAAAUUCCUGGGCUUAACCUGGGGACUGCGCUUAAUACAGGCAGUCUAGAGUGAGGAAGAGGGUUGUGGAAUUCCCAGUGUAGAGGUGAAAUUCGUAGAUAUUGGGAAGAACACCGGUGGCGAAGGCGGCAACCUGGUCCUUGACUGACGCUGAGGCGCGAAAGCGUGGGGAGCAAACAGGAUUAGAUACCCCAGUAGUCCCUGUCUCUUAUAC
rnacentral:rRNA from 1 species